rnacentral:rRNA from 1 species
GACGAACGCUGGCGGCGGGCUUAAUACAUGCAAGUCGAACGGAAAGGCCCUGCUUUCGUUGGGUUCUCGAGUGGCGAACGGGUGAGUAACACGUGAGUAGCCUGCCCUUGACUUUGGGAUAACUUCCGGAAACUGGGGCUAAUACCUGAUAGGAGCUCCUGCUGCAUGGUGGGGGUUGGAAAGUUUCGGCGGGUGGGGAUGGACUCGCGGCUUAGCAGCUUGCUGGUGGGGUAGUGGCUUACCAAGGCUUUGACGGGUAGCCGGCCUGAGAGGGUGACCGGGCACAUUGGGCCUGAGAUACGGCCCGGACUCCUACGGGAGGCAGCGGUGUGGAAUCUUGCCCGAUGGGCGCAAGCCUCGUGCAGCAACGCCGCGUGCGGGAUGACGGCCUUCGGGUUGUAAACAGCUUUCGCCUGUGACGAUGCGUGAGUGACGGUAAUGGGUAAAGAAGCACCGGCUAACUCCGUG